rnacentral:rRNA from 1 species
GAUGAACGCUGGCGGCGUGCCUAAUACAUGCAAGUCGAGCGAACAGACGAGGAGCUUGCUCCUCUGACGUUAGCGGCGGACGGGUGAGUAACACGUGGAUAACCUACCUAUAAGACUGGGAUAACUUCGGGACACCGGAGCUAAUACCGGAUAAUAUAUUGAACCGCAUGGUUCAAUAGUGAAAGACGGUUUUGCUGUCACUUAUAGAUGGAUCCGCGCCGCAUUAGCUAGUUGGUAAGGUAACGGCUUACCAAGGCAACGAUGCGUAGCCGACCUGAGAGGGUGAUCGGCCACACUGGAACUGAGACACGGUCCAGACGCCUACGGGAGGCAGCAGUAGGGAAUCUGCAGCAAUGGGCGAAAGCCUGACGGAGCAACGCCGCGUGAGUGAUGAAGGUCUUCGGAUCGUAAAACUCUGUUAUUAGGGAAGAACAAAUGUGUAAGUAACUAUGCACGUCUUGACGGUACAUAAUCAGAAAGCCACGGCUAACUACGUG